rnacentral:rRNA from 1 species
CCCUUAGACGUUCUGGGCCGCACGCGCGCUACACUGACCAGUGCAACAAGCAUCCGUCCUUGGCCGACAGGCCCGGGCAAUCUUUGAACGCUGGUCGUGAUGGGGAUAGACUUUUGCAAUUUUUGGUCUUCAACGAGGAAUUCCUAGUAAACGCAAGUCAUCAGCUUGCAUUGAUUACGUCCCUGCCCUUUGUACACACCGCCCGUCGCACCUACCGAUUGAAUGGUCCGGUGAAAUCUCGGGACGGCGGCUUGGUCGCUUGCGUCCGACUGCUGAAACUUGAUUAAACCAUAUCAUUUAGAGGAAGGUGAAGUCGUAACA